AUCCCUUCUUAGCCUUUUGGCUAAGCUCAACUGUAGUAUCUGUUCUUAUCAGUUUAUUAUUAUUUUUUAUUUUAAUACAUUUCACAACUUUUUAUGAAAUACGGUGAGAAAUCUGGAAACUUAG
rnacentral:snRNA from 1 species